ACCCGGAACUCCAGCUGGCCCGCAAGCGCCGCGCGCAGCCCGGGUUCCCGCUCGCGCCUCUCCCUCCACACCUCCCUGCGAGCUGAGGGAGCCGGUUCUGGCCUUGGCCAGCCCAGAAAGGGGCUCCCACAGUGCAGCGGUGGGCUGAAGGGCUCCUCAAGUGCCGCCAAAGUGGGAGCCCAGGCAGAGGAGGCGCUGAGAGCGAGCGGGGGGCUGUGAGGACUGCCAGCAUGCUGUUACCUCUCAAUAAGUGGUCCCAAAGAUGACCAAUUGUUGAGAGCCUAGAGGAAAGGGAAGAACCCACAUCUACCAUGAAUGAAGAAAUGGCGACCUGGAAGCAUACUUCUGGUAGCAAUGGGGACAUGGGUCAAAGGGGACUUGAGAUGGAGAAAUCAAGGUGCAAAGAGGUUAAGAAACUUGUCCAAGGGCCUAGCAUGAUGUCUUCCAUAUGCAGGUGUUCAAUAAGUGCUGAUUUUAUUCCAGGAGCAGAGGCAAUUAAGCUAGGGUUGCAAUAGUUAGGGAGCCAGGAGAUCCACAUGGUCAAAGUAGCAGCUGCUUUCACGAAGCGGCAGUAAUGCGUGCCGCUCGAAUUUGGAUGCAAGGUCCUGGUAACUGAGGAAUGGGCUGUUGCCGGAAGAUAGAGCAGAGAGCAGCCAGUUAUCUUGCGGAGGGGUGAGGAAGGAAAGAGAACUUGAGCUGGGAAGCCAGCAACAGUGGAAAGCUCCCCAAGUGAAGCUUGAGCUCCUCUCUCAGCAAUCCUCCUGGCCUUGAGGAGACAGUAAAUCUCACUCCAUCCUGUGGUUAUACCACUGAAGCAUCUUUAAAAACACUUAGUCCCAAACAAUGGGCCCUUUCCUGCUGCUUUUCUUACCUGAGCCAGCAACCUCAGAGCUUUCUGGGAUUUCUGUUAAAAACACCGAGAUCCCAGGACUCCUUCUCUAUCAACACAACUGUCGCUCACGCCAAGCAUGGGACAUAUGGCCGAGCAUCUGGGAGGGAGAAGAUGGGCCAGGAGUGCUGGCAAGCGGCACAUGCUUUCAUUAUAAUGGAUGUGUCACAGUAAAUCAUUUUGUAAAGGUCCCCUCCCCCUGUGCUGCAUAGCAAAACAUAAAGGAAGACGAAUUACCCACAGCACCACAAUGCUGGUUGAAUAUGCCAAAACUUGUGCCUGAGACACUUAGUGACAUUUCCUUAAAUAUCUUUUUAAUAUCUUGGCCAGGUUGGGCAUACCAAUGGCAUUACAGAGCUUGCAAAUCAA